rnacentral:rRNA from 1 species
GAUGAACGCUGGCGGCGUGCCUAAUACAUGCAAGUCGAGCGAACAGACGAGGAGCUUGCUCCUCUGACGUUAGCGGCUGACGGGUGAGUAACACGUGGAUAACCUACCUAUAAGACUGGGAUAACUUCGGGAAACCGGAGCUAAUACCGGAUAAUAUAUUGAACCGCAUUGUUCAAUAGUGAAAGACGGUUUUGCUGUCACUUAUAGAUGGAUCCGCUCCGCAUUAGCUAGUUGGUAAGGUAACGGCUUACCAAGGCGACGAUGCGUAGCCGACCUGAGAGGGUGAUCGGCCACACUGGAACGGAGACACGGAACAGACUCCUACGGGAGGCAGCAGUAGGGAAUAUUCCGCAAUGGGCGAAAGCAUGACGGAGAAACGCCGCGUGAGAGAUGAAGGUAUUCGGAUCGUAAAACUCUGUUAUUAGGGAAGAAAAAAUGUGUAAGUAACUAUGCACGUAUUGACGGUAACGAAUCAGAAAGCCACGGCUAACUACGUG